UCUAAUUCCCCCCAGCCCCCAGUGUCUGUGCUGUCAUCAUGCUGAUGGUGUCAAGGGGGAGAGACGAGAACUGGGUAGGAUUCCAUGAUAUGAUUGUUACUUUCAGAUAAAGAAGAGCCCAGGAGAGGGGCAGGUGGAUGGGCCAGAAGACAUGGCUAUGGGGUUUCAAAGCAGAAUGCAAUCAUCCUUGCGGCCAAGGAGAGGAGAGAAAGUUGAGGAUCCCUCUUGAGGUGUACAGCACAUCUGCUAUCUGAUGCAACGGAUAUCCACAUUAUUAGAUGUUCACUCCAACAAGUGUAGUUACCAUCUGUCCAUAUACAAAGAUGUUACAACAUUACUGACUAUAUCCUCUAUCCUGUGCUUUCAUCUCCAAUGACCAAUCUUAUGUUGUAAUUGGGAUUUUGUGCCCCUUUAUCCCCUUAUUUCAUCCCCCUGAUUCACCCCCACCCCUUCCCCCACAGCAACAUUUUAAUUCACCACUCACUCUUUUUCCAUGCAUGUAUAUUGUUAUCUGUAUUAAAAAUGAUAUAGGCUUACAAGAUAUGGAAGCAACCUAAAUGUCCAUCAGUAGAUGAAUGGAUAAAGAAGAUGUGGUGCAUAUACACAAUGGAGUAUUAUUCAGCCAU